rnacentral:rRNA from 1 species
ACGUAGGAGGCAAGCGUUAUCCGGAGUUACUGGGCGUAAAGCGUGCGCAGGCGGUUCGCUAAGACAGGUGUGAAAUCCCCGGGCUUAACCUGGGAAUGGCGCUUGUGACUGGCGGGCUGGAGUACGGCAGAGGGGGGUGGAAUUCCGCGUGUAGCAGUGAAAUGCGUAGAGAUGUGGAGGAACACCGAUGGCGAAGGCAGCCCCCUGGGUCGACACUGACGCUCAUGCACGAAAGCGUGGGGAGCAAACAG